rnacentral:rRNA from 1 species
UUGGAGGGCAAGUCUGGUGCCAGCAGCCGCGGUAAUUCCAGCUCCAAUAGCGUAUAUUAAAGUUGUUGCAGUUAAAAAGCUCGCAGUUGAAUUUCGGGAUCAGAGUGUCGGUCGUGCCUCGGUACGCACUGGUAUUAUUGGUUCCUACCUUCUGAAGAACCGCGAUGUCAUUAAUUUGGUGUCGUGGGGAAUCAGGACUGUUACUUUGAAAAAAUUAGAGUGUUUAAAGCAGGCUUACGCUUGAAUACAUUAGCAUGGAAUAAUGAAAUAGGACGUUUGAUUCUAUUUUGUUGGUUUCUAGGAUUGACGUAAUGAUUAAUAGGGAUAGUUGGGGGCAUUAGUAUUCAAUUGUCAGAGGUGAAAUUCUUGGAUUUAUUGAAGACUAACUACUGCGAAAGCAUUUGCCAAGGAUGUUUUCAUUAAUCAAGAACGAAAGUUAGGGGAUCGAAGACGAUCAGAUACCGUCGUAGUCUUAACCAUAAACUAUGCCGACUAGGGAUCGGAUGAUGUUAAUUUUUUAAUGACUCAUUCGGCGCCUUACGGGAAAC